rnacentral:rRNA from 1 species
GACGAACGCUGGCGGCGUGCUUAACACAUGCAAGUCGAACGGAAAGGCCCUGCUUUUGUGGGGUUCUCGAGUGGCGAACGGGUGAGUAACACGUGAGUAACCUGCCCUUGACUUUGGUAUAACUUCAGGAAACUGGGGCUAAUACCGUAUAGGAGCUCCUGCUGCAUGGUGGGGGUUGGAAAGUUUCGGCGGUUGGGGAUGGACUCGCGGCUUAUCAGCUUGUUGGUGGGGUAGUGGCUUACCAAGGCUUUGACGGGUAGCCGGCCUGAGAGGGUGACCGGCCACAUGGGGACUGAGAUACGGCGCAGACUGCUACGGGAGGCAGCAGUGGGGAAUAUUGCACAAUGGGCGGAAGCCUGAUGCAGAAACGCCGCGGGCGGGAUGACGGCCUUCGGGGUGUAAACCGCUGUAGCCUGUGACGAAGCGGGAGUGACGGUAAUGGGUAAAGAAGCACCGGCUAACUACGUG